GAUGAACGCUGGCGGUAUGCUUAACACAUGCAAGUCGAACGGACUCUUCGGAGUUAGUGGCGGACGGGUGUGUAACGCGUGAGAAUCUGGCUUUGGGUUCGGGACAACCACUGGAAACGGUGGCUAAUACCGGAUGUGCCGAGAGGUAAAAGAGAAAUUGCCUGAAGAUGAGCUCGCGUCUGAUUAGCUAGUUGGUGAGGUAAAGGCUCACCAAGGCAGCGAUCAGUAGCUGGUCUGAGAGGAUGACCAGCCACACUGGGACUGAGACACGGCCCAGACUCCUACGGGAGGCAGCAGUGGGGAAUUUUCCGCAAUGGGCGAAAGCCUGACGGAGCAAUACCGCGUGAGGGAAGAAGGCUCUUGGGUUGUAAACCUCUUUUCUUAGGGAAGAACAAAAUGACGGUACCUAAGGAAUCAGCAUCGGCUAACUCCGUG
rnacentral:rRNA from 1 species